UGCGCCUACGUGGGAUUAGCUAGUUGGUGAGGUAAUGGCUCACCAAGGCGACGAUCCCUAGCUGGUUUGAGAGGAUGAUCAGCCACACUGGAACUGAGACACGGUCCAGACUCCUACGGGAGGCAGCAGUGGGGAAUAUUGGACAAUGGGCGCAAGCCUGAUCCAGCCAUGCCGCGUGUGUGAAGAAGGCCUUCGGGUUGUAAAGCACUUUCAGUUGGGAGGAAGCGUUGUGUGUUAAUAGUACACAGCGUUGACGUUACCAACAGAAGAAGCACCGGCUAACUCUGUGCCAGCAGCCGCGGUAAUACAGAGGGUGCAAGCGUUAAUCGGAAUUACUGGGCGUAAAGCGCACGUAGGCGGUUUUUUAAGUCAGAUGUGAAAGCCCCGGGCUCAACCUGGGAAUUGCAUUUGAAACUGGAAAACUAGAGUGUGUGAGAGGGGGGUAGAAUUCCAAGUGUAGCGGUGAAAUGCGUAGAGAUUUGGAGGAAUACCAGUGGCGAAGGCGGCCCCCUGGCACAACACUGACGCUCAGGUGCGAAAGCGUGGGGAGCAAACAGGAAUAGAUACCCUGGUAGUCCACGCCGUAAACGAUGUCUACUAGCUGUUCGUGACCUUGUGUCGUGAGUAGCGCAGCUAACGCACUAAGUAGACCGCCUGGGGAGUACGGUCGCAAGAUUAAAACUCAAAUGAAUUGACGGGGGCCCGCACAAGCGGUGGAGCAUGUGGUUUAAUUCGACGCAACGCGAAGAACCUUACCUACUCUUGACAUCCAGAGAAGACUGCAGAGAUGCGGUUGUGCCUUCGGGAACUCUGAGACAGGUGCUGCAUGGCUGUCGUCAGCUCGUGUUGUGAAAUGUUGGGUUAAGUCCCGCAACGAGCGCAACCCUUAUCCUUAGUUGCCAGCACGUAAUGGUGGGAACUCUAGGGAGACUGCCGGUGAUAAACCGGAGGAAGGUGGGGACGACGUCAAGUCAUCAUGGCCCUUACGAGUAGGGCUACACACGUGCUACAAUGGUAUGUACAGAGGGAGGCAAGCUGGCGACAGUGAUCGGAUCUCUUAAAAGCAUUAUCGUAGUCCGGAUCGCAGUCUGCAACUCGACUGCGUGAAGUCGGGAAUCGCUAGUAAUCGCAAAUCAGAAUGUUGCGGUGAAUACGUUUCCCGGGCCUUGUACACACCGCCCGUCACACCAUGGGAGUGGGUUUGCAAAANAA
rnacentral:rRNA from 1 species